GCGCAUGUGCAGAACUUUUAUUUUGACAUGAGGUAAUCAGGAGAAGAGGUGGGUCUACAACAGACCAGCUUUGGAAAGUCUGUUUAAUAAUAUGUUCCUUUAAAUAUUUUGUAUCACAUUUCCCCAUCAUAAUGACCAAGCCUCCUGCCCACUGGCACAGAGAAGAGAGAUACACGUCAAGACACAGCAGUGGUCAAGGAACGACUCGGAGUGAACAGUAGCAUGCUGCUUGCGUGUCUCUUAAUUUGACAUAAGGCCUUUUGCCAAGCCUCUCCCUGUCUGACUCACUCACCCCGUACCUCUCGCUCACUUUCCAUAUUUCUGUAUAUAAAUAGAUGAUAGGAAUAAAAUAAUUUACCCCCC